AACGAACGCUGGCGGCAUGCCUAACACAUGCAAGUCGAACGAAACCUUCGGGCCUAGUGGCGCACGGCUACGUAACGCGUGGGAACCUGCCCUUAGGUUCGGAAUAACUCCCCGAAAGGGGUGCUAAUACCGGAUAAUGUCUUCGGACCAAAGAUUUAUCGCCUUAGGAUGGGCCCGCGUUGGUUUAGCUAGUUGGUAGGGUAAAAGCCUACCAAGGCGACGAUCCAUAGCUGGUCUGAGAGGAUGAUUAGCCAGACUGGGACUGAGACACGGCCCAGACUCCUACGGGAGGCCGCAGUGGGGAAUAUUGGACAAUGGGCGAAAGCCUGAUCCAGCAAUGACGCGGGAGUGAUGAAGGCCUUAGGGUUGUAAAGCUCUUUUACCCGAGAUGAUAAUGACAGUACCGGGAAAAUAAGCACCGGCUAACUACGUG
rnacentral:rRNA from 1 species